CUGUCUCAAAGCAAGUGUGCAAGGUGGGUUAUGACAUCAAGCUCAAAUUUUUGAGGCCUUAAACUCAUAGUUAUACAAUGUUCAUAAAAUAUUAUAUUUGUACCAAUGGUCUAGUGGCAGAAGAUGGAUGGUAGUGAUGCAACAAGGUCCUCCCCUCUCAUACCACCUAUUCACCCCUUUGGGGCCUUUUAACUCCAUAUAUGUUAAAAAAUCUUCCAAAUUUUUCCGGUGGCCGCCGCAUCAGUGGAUUCAAAGUUUGUGUCUCUAUAUGUAAGGGCUGGUUGGUUGUUCGAGCAUCACCUCUUAAUUCCUUUUAGGGUUAGAAAGCCAUAACUAUCGUUUAACAAAUGUCAAUCAACCACAAUUGUCAUAUUUUGUGGCUGGUUGGAGCCGGGUCCGGUUAUGGUGCAUAAGCCCAAGAUAAUUGCUUAGCACACCCCGUCCAUUGCUUCGUACACCCCAAUAGAUCCCUCACCCACGUACGCAAGGUUCACAUUUCACAAAACAAAUUGCUCGUUCAUCAUCAAACAAAACUCGCUCCCUCUUCGCCGUCGCCAUUAACGCCUUCCAUCUUCAACGUCGCCGCCGUUCAUCAUCAGUUCAUCACAUUUCAUCAUCUUCACCGUCGCCAUCAUUCAAAACCAUUCAAUAUAGUUCAUCAUCAUUCACCAACAUAUACAUAAUUUGAACGAACCAAACACAAAAUGUUGAAAAGAAAACAGGUUAGAGCUAGAUUUUUACUUCGAUUUUGGGAAUUAGGUUUUAUUUUGGUUUGAUUAUUUUCUAAUUUCACAAGAUUAAA
rnacentral:lncRNA from 1 species